UACGAAGGGUGCAAACGUUGCUCGGAAUUAUUGGGCGUAAAGCGCACGUAGGCGGCAUAGCAAGUCGGAUGUGAAAUCCCUCGGCUCAACCAAGGAAGUGCAUCCGAAACUGCUGUGCUUGAGUACGAAAGAGGAUCGCGGAAUUCCCGGUGUAGAGGUGAAAUUCGUAGAUAUCGGGAGGAACACCAGUGGCGAAGGCGGCGAUCUGGGUCGAUACUGACGCUGAGGCGCGAAAGCUAGGGUAGCAAACGGG
rnacentral:rRNA from 1 species